rnacentral:rRNA from 1 species
AACCUGCCCUUAACUCUGGGAUAAGCCUGGGAAACUGGGUCUAAUACCGGAUAUGACUCCUCAUCGCAUGGUGGGGGGUGGAAAGCUUUAUUGUGGUUUUGGAUGGACUCGCGGCCUAUCAGCUUGUUGGUGAGGUAAUGGCUCACCAAGGCGACGACGGGUAGCCGGCCUGAGAGGGUGACCGGCCACACUGGGACUGAGACACGGCCCAGACUCCUACGGGAGGCAGCAGUGGGGAAUAUUGCACAAUGGGCGAAAGCCUGAUGCAGCGACGCCGCGUGAGGGAUGACGGCCUUCGGGUUGUAAACCUCUUUCAGUAGGGAAGAAGCGAAAGUGACGGUACCUGCAGAAGAAGCGCCGGCUAACUACGUGCCAGCAGCCGCGGUAAUACGUAGGGCGCAAGCGUUAUCCGGAAUUAUUGGGCGUAAAGAGCUCGUAGGCGGUUUGUCGCGUCUGCCGUGAAAGUCCGGGGCUCAACUCCGGAUCUGCGGUGGGUACGGGCAGACUAGAGUGAUGUAGGGGAGACUGGAAUUCCUGGUGUAGCGGUGAAAUGCGCAGAUAUCAGGAGGAACACCGAUGGCGAAGGCAGGUCUCUGGGCAUUAACUGACGCUGAGGAGCGAAAGCAUGGGGAGCGAACAGGAUUAGAUACCCUGGUAGUCCAUGCCGUAAACGUUGGGCACUAGGUGUGGGGGACAUUCCACGUUUUCCGCGCCGUAGCUAACGCAUUAAGUGCCCCGCCUGGGGAGUACGGCCGCAAGGCUAAAACUCAAAGGAAUUGACGGGGGCCCGCACAAGCGGCGGAGCAUGCGGAUUAAUUCGAUGCAACGCGAAGAACCUUACCAAGGCUUGACAUGAACCGGAAAUACCUGGAAACAGGUGCCCCGCUUGCGGUCGGUUUACAGGUGGUGCAUGGUUGUCGUCAGCUCGUGUCGUGAGAUGUUGGGUUAAGUCCCGCAACGAGCGCAACCCUCGUUCUAUGUUGCCAGCGCGUUAUGGCGGGGACUCAUAGGAGACUGCCGGGGUCAACUCGGAGGAAGGUGGGGACGACGUCAAAUCAUCAUGCCCCUUAUGUCUUGGGCUUCACGCAUGCUACAAUGGCCGGUACAAAGGGUUGCGAUACUGUGAGGUGGAGCUAAUCCCAAAAAGCCGGUCUCAGUUCGGAUUGGGGUCUGCAACUCGACCCCAUGAAGUCGGAGUCGCUAGUAAUCGCAGAUC